GACGAACGCUGGCGGCGUGCUUAACACAUGCGAGUCGAACGGAAAGGCCCUGCUUUUGUGGGGUGCUCGAGUGGCGAACGGGUGAGUAACACGUGAGUAACCUGCCCUUGACUUUGGGAUAACUUCAGGAAACUGGGGCUAAUACCGGAUAGGAGCUCCUGCUGCAUGGUGGGGGUUGGAAAGUUUCGGCGGUUGGGGAUGGACUCGCGGCUUAUCAGCUUGUUGGUGGGGUAGUGGCUUACCAAGGCUUUGACGGGUAGCCGGCCUGAGAGGGUGACCGGCCACGUUGUUCCUGAGGUCCCGCCCGGACCCCAACUGGAGGCAGCAUUGGGGAAUAGAAGCCGAGAGCCGGUACCCGCAUCCCUUAACCUCGCGUGCCCGAUGACUGCCUGCUGUGUCUAUUCUGCUUUCGCCUGUGCCGCACCUUGAGUUACGGCACCGGGUAAAUAACCACCUCCCAUCUACGUG
rnacentral:rRNA from 1 species